AGUCGAGGGGUAUAGUUCUUCGGAAUUAGAGACCGGCGCACGGGUGCGUAACGCGUAUGCAAUCUACCUUUUACAGAGGGAUAGCCCAGAGAAAUUUGGAUUAAUACCUCAUAGUAUUAUGACUCGGCAUCGAGAAAUAAUUAAAGUCACAACGGUAAAAGAUGAGCAUGCGUCCCAUUAGCUAGUUGGUAAGGUAACGGCUUACCAAGGCGACGAUGGGUAGGGGUCCUGAGAGGGAGAUCCCCCACACUGGUACUGAGACACGGACCAGACUCCUACGGGAGGCAGCAGUGAGGAAUAUUGGUCAAUGGGCGCAAGCCUGAACCAGCCAUGCCGCGUGCAGGAUGACGGUCCUAUGGAUUGUAAACUGCUUUUGUACAGGAAGAAACCCUCGGACAUGUCCGAGCUUGACGGUACUGUAAGAAUAAGGAUCGGCUAACUCCGUGCCAGCAGCCGCGGUAAUACGGAGGAUCCAAGCGUUAUCCGGAAUCAUUGGGUUUAAAGGGUCCGUAGGCGGUUUAGUAAGUCAGUGGUGAAAGCCCAUCGCUCAACGGUGGAACGGCCAUUGAUACUGCUAGACUUGAAUUAUUAGGAAGUAACUAGAAUAUGUAGUGUAGCGGUGAAAUGCUUAGAGAUUACAUGGAAUACCAAUUGCGAAGGCAGGUUACUACUAAUGGAUUGACGCUGAUGGACGAAAGCGUGGGUAGCGAACAGGAUUAGAUACCCUGGUAGUCCACGCCGUANACGAUGGAUACUAGCUGUUGGGAGCGAUCUCAGUGGCUAAGCGAAAGU
rnacentral:rRNA from 1 species